rnacentral:rRNA from 1 species
AGAGUGAACGCUGGCGGUAGGCCUAACACAUGCAAGUCGAACGGCAGCACAGUAGGAGCUUGCUCUUACGGGUGGCGAGUGGCGGACGGGUGAGGAAUACAUCGGAAUCUACCUUUUGGUGGGGGAUAACGUAGGGAAACUUACGCUAAUACCGCAUACGCCCUUCGGGGGAAAGCCGGGGACCAGCAAUGGCCUGGCGCUGAUAGAUGAGCCGAUAUCGAGUA